rnacentral:rRNA from 1 species
CCUACGGGUGGCUGCAGUGGGGAAUAUUGCUCAAUGGGGGAAACCCUGAAGCAGCAACGCCGCGUGGAGGAUGAAGGCUUUAGGAUUGUAAACUCCUUUUGUGAGAGAAGAUAAUGACGGUAUCUCUCGAAUAAGCACCGGCUAACUCCGUGCCAGCAGCCGCGGUAAUACGGAGGGUGCAAGCGUUACUCGGAAUCACUGGGCGUAAAGAGUGCGCAGGCGGGCCUGUAAGUCAGAUGUGAAAUCCUGUAGCUUAACCUCAGAACUGCAUUUGAAACUCUGAGUCUAGAGUGUGGGAGAGGUAGGUGGAAUUCGUGGUGUAGGGGUAAAAUGCGUAGAUAUCAAGAGGAAUACUCAUUGCGAAGGCGGCCUACUGGAACAUUACUGACGCUCAUGCGCGAAAGCGUGGGGAGCAAACAGGAUUAGAUACCCUUGUAGUC